ensembl:lncRNA
GCUAAAUUCCUGGGUGAUUCCAGGUGUUUCUGCUACAGGCCAAAGACGGCAACUGCGGGGGAUUUUAUCUUUACCAAUGACGUGGACUUUCAACCGCUUAUCCACCAACCGACUCUCCAUAAGUACCAGGAGGAGGUAGAGUGUUCCUGGCGUAAUGAGGGAAUUGGAGGCAGCCGUGUUCUGGCUGCCGGGGAUAUAGGCGGUGUCCUGUGGCCCCAUUCUCUCUCUCUCUCUGAUGGACGCGGUUUGACGGCUGGAUGCAGGGGAUCGCAUUGUCUUCUCUGCGCCCAUGUUGAUUUAUGGAACUGCCUGUCAAUAAAUAUAGUUUAUUGUAAUGAACGUUACCCGAC